GACGGGGGGUCCUAGCGUUGUUCGGAAUCAUUGGGCGUAAAGCGUGUGCAGGUGGCUUUGUAAGUUAGAUGUGAAAGCCCCGGGCUUAACCCGGGAAGUGCAUUUAAAACUGCAAAACUUGAGUAUGGAAGAGGGUCGUGGAAUUCCAGGUGUAGUGGUGAAAUACGUAGAUAUCUGGAGGAACACCGGCGGCGAAGGCGGCGACCUGGUCCUAUACUGACACUCAUACACGAAAGCGUGGGGAUCAAACAGG
rnacentral:rRNA from 1 species